GACAGAGGGUGCAAACGUUGCUCGGAAUCACUGGGCGUAAAGGGCUCGUAGGCGGUUUGUCGCGUCGGGAGUGAAAAUCCAGGGCUUAACUCUGGACUGGCUUCCGAUACGGGCAGACUAGAGGUAUGCAGGGGAGAACGGAAUUCCUGGUGUAGCGGUGAAAUGCGCAGAUAUCAGGAGGAACACCGGUGGCGAAGGCGGUUCUCUGGGCAUUACCUGACGCUGAGGAGCGAAAGUGUGGGGAGCGAACAGG
rnacentral:rRNA from 1 species